rnacentral:rRNA from 1 species
ACGAGCGGCGGACGGGUGAGUAAUGCUUAGGAAUCUGCCCAGUAGUGGGGGACAACAGUCGGAAACGGCUGCUAAUACCGCAUACGCCCUACGGGGGAAAGCAGGGGAUCUUCGGACCUUGCGCUAUUGGAUGAGCCUAAGUCGGAUUAGCUAGUUGGUGGGGUAAAGGCCUACCAAGGCGACGAUCCGUAGCUGGUCUGAGAGGAUGAUCAGCCACAUCGGGACUGAGACACGGCCCGAACUCCUACGGGAGGCAGCAGUGGGGAAUAUUGGACAAUGGGGGCAACCCUGAUCCAGCCAUGCCGCGUGUGUGAAGAAGGCUUUCGGGUUGUAAAGCACUUUCAGCGAGGAGGAAGGCUCUAAAGUUAAUACCUUUAGGGAUUGACGUUACUCGCAGAAGAAGCACCGGCUAACUCCGUGCCAGCAGCCGCGGUAAUACGGAGGGUGCAAGCGUUAAUCGGAAUUACUGGGCGUAAAGCGCGCGUAGGUGGUUAGGUAAGCGAGAUGUGAAAGCCCCGGGCUUAACCUGGGAACGGCAUUUCGAACUGUCUGACUAGAGUGUGGUAGAGGGUAGUGGAAUUUCCUGUGUAGCGGUGAAAUGCGUAGAUAUAGGAAGGAACACCAGUGGCGAAGGCGGCUACCUGGACCAACACUGACACUGAGGUGCGAAAGCGUGGGGAGCAAACAGGAUUAGAUACCCUGGUAGUCCACGCCGUAAACGAUGUCAACUAGCCGUUGGGACUCUUGAAGUCUUAGUGGCGCAGCUAACGCACUAAGUUGACCGCCUGGGGAGUACGGCCGCAAGGUUAAAACUCAAAUGAAUUGACGGGGGCCCGCACAAGCGGUGGAGCAUGUGGUUUAAUUCGACGCAACGCGAAGAACCUUACCUGGCCUUGACAUCCAGAGAACUUUCCAGAGAUGGAUUGGUGCCUUCGGGAACUCUGAGACAGGUGCUGCAUGGCCGUCGUCAGCUCGUGUCGUGAGAUGUUGGGUUAAGUCCCGUAACGAGCGCAACCCCUAUCCCUGGUUGCUAGCAGGUAAUGCUGAGAACUCCAGGGAGACUGCCGGUGACAAACCGGAGGAAGGUGGGGAUGACGUCAGGUCAUCAUGGCCCUUACGGCCAGGGCUACACACGUGCUACAAUGGUACGUACAGAGGGCUGCCAACUCGCGAGAGUGAGCCAAUCCCUUAAAACGUAUCGUAGUCCGGAUCGGAGUCUGCAACUCGACUCCGUGAAGUCGGAAUCGCUAGUAAUCGCGAAUC